AUUGAACGCUGGCGGCAUGCCUUACACAUGCAAGUCGAACGGCAGCACGGGAGCAAUCCUGGUGGCGAGUGGCGAACGGGUGAGUAACAUAUCGGAACGUGCCCGGUAGUGGGGGAUAACCCGGCGAAAGUCGGACUAAUACCGCAUACGACCUACGGGUGAAAGCGGGGGAUCGCAAGACCUCGCGCUAUUGGAGCGGCCGAUAUCAGAUUAGCUAGUUGGUGGGGUAAAGGCCUACCAAGGCGACGAUCUGUAGCUGGUCUGAGAGGACGACCAGCCACACUGGGACUGAGACACGGCCCAGACUCCUACGGGAGGCAGCAGUGGGGAAUUUUGGACAAUGGGCGCAAGCCUGAUCCAGCCAUGCCGCGUGCGGGAAGAAGGCCUCGGUU
rnacentral:rRNA from 1 species